GCCGGUAGGCGGGAUACUAGUCGUCGCUUUUUAGAAGCACAGGCUCGCUAUGUUAUACUUAUUUCACUGACUUAUUUUUGUAUGCAAGAUCUCUGAUCAGAGAUUUGUACAAGGAGAGUUAAUUGGGGGACUACCGCAAGGAUGGAAGAGGGCGCAUACAGCUGUUGGAUUUUUUUUGACUUUUUUGGUAACUUUUUAUUUUCUGUUUUUUGGCUUUUUAUUUUAUUUUUGAACUUUUACUUUUUAUUUUUUCUGAUUAGGAGGUUUUAAUUUUUCGUCUUUAGUUUUUUUACCUUAGAGGGGAAGAGGAUACAGGUCAAUAAGAGGUUUCUCGAUUUGUAUGAACGUGCA
rnacentral:lncRNA from 1 species